CUCAAAAACAACGAUCAAAGGUCUGUGGAACAUGUGGCUUGUAUGCUCAGCUGUCAGGGCUGGGCAGCCACAGCUGCUUGUGAUGUCCACACCCCGCUUCCACCCUGGGGGGAGGGGCAGGAGUUCUGCAACAGUUUCAUUAUUGUUACUGUUUCCAGUGUGCACAGUUCCUUCUUAUGUCCACUUAGGAAAGGGCAGAUGGAUGAUCCGAAUUGGUCCUCUAGCACUGUUUGAUGACUCCCCCCUCUGCCUCGAGCUCCAGGAUGGGAUUUUGAUUGUAUACAUUUGUCUUAGUCAUUCAGUUUCCUUGGUGAUGCGAUUAGAGACCACAGAGAGCAUCA
rnacentral:lncRNA from 1 species